UACGGAAGGGGCUAGCGUUGUUCGGAAUUACUGGGCGUAAAGAGCGCGUAGGCGGCUUACCAAGUUGGGGGUGAAAUCCCGGAGCUCAACUCCGGAACUGCCUUCAAAACUGGUAGGCUCGAGUCCGGAAGAGGGGCGUGGAAUUCCCAGUGUAGAGGUGAAAUUCGUAGAUAUUGGUAAGAACACCGGUGGCGAAGGCGGCGCCCUGGUCCGGUACCGACGCUGGGGCGCGAAAGCGUGGGGAGCAAACAGG
rnacentral:rRNA from 1 species